rnacentral:rRNA from 1 species
UCGCGAAAACUUCGCAAUAAGCGAAAGCUUGACGGGGUCAUCCCGAGUGCCAUCUGCUGAGGAUGGCUUUUACCCAGUAUAGAUAGCUGGGGGAAUAAGGAGAGGGCAAGUCUGGUGUCAGCCGCCGCGGUAAUACCAGCUCUCCGAGUUGUGGGGACGUUUAUUGAGCCUGAAGCAUCCGUAGCCGGCUGUGUAAGUCCUCUGUUAAAUCCAGCGACUAAUCGUUGGCCUGCGGGGGAUACUGCUCGGCUAGGGGGCGGGAGAGGCCGUCGGUAUUCUUGGGGUAGGGGUGAAAUCCUAUAAUCCCAGGAGGACCACCAGUGGCGAAGGCUGUCGGCUAGAACGCGCCCGACGGUGAGGGAUGAAAGCUGGGGGAGCGAACCGGAUUAGAUACCCGGGUAGUCCCAGCUGUAAACGAUGCAGGCUAGGUGUUAGGGCGGCUACGUGCCGCUCUAGUGCCGCAGGGAAGCUGUUAAGCCUGCCGCUUGGGGAGUACGGCCGCAAGGCUGAAACUUAAAGG